rnacentral:lncRNA from 1 species
CUACAUUGCUGUUGACUACUGUGCAUACUGUUUAAACAGCAGAAGGUAUGAACUUGAGGAAUUUUACAGCCUCAGGAACUGAAAUAUAACAACAAAAAAAACCUGCUGGACUGCCAGGGGCUGUAAUCAUGUCAGACUUUAUAAGCAAAGUAGGAUUUGGGCAGCUCAGUGUUGAGUGAAAGCACAUCAAGGAGAAAAAGAGGGAGAAGCACUGAAUCACUUCUUCAAGUCCCUCAGAAUGUUUCAUUUCCUUUACUUCUGUAU